CCUGGCUCACAUGAACGCUGGCGGCGCGCCUAACACAUGCAAGUCGAACGAGCGAGAGAGAGAGCUUGCUUUCUCAAGCGAGUGGCGAACGGGUGAGUAACGCGUGAGGAACCUGCCUCAAAGAGGGGGACAACAGUUGGAAACGACUGCUAAUACCGCAUAAGCCCACGGCUCGGCAUCGAGCAGAGGGAAAAGGAGCAAUCCGCUUUGAGAUGGCCUCGCGUCCGAUUAGCUAGUUGGUGAGGUAACGGCCCACCAAGGCGACGAUCGGUAGCCGGACUGAGAGGUUGAACGGCCACAUUGGGACUGAGACACGGCCCAGACUCCUACGGGAGGCAGCAGUGGGGAAUAUUGCACAAUGGGGGAAACCCUGAUGCAGCGACGCCGCGUGGAGGAAGAAGGUCUUCGGAUUGUAAACUCCUGUUGUUGAGGAAGAUAAUGACGGUACUCAACAAGGAAGUGACGGCUAACUACGUGCCAGCAGCCGCGGUAAAACGUAGGUCACAAGCGUUGUCCGGAAUUACUGGGUGUAAAGGGAGCGCAGGCGGGAAGACAAGUUGGAAGUGAAAUCCAUGGGCUCAACCCAUGAACUGCUUUCAAAACUGUUUUUCUUGAGUAGUGCAGAGGUAGGCGGAAUUCCCGGUGUAGCGGUGGAAUGCGUAGAUAUCGGGAGGAACACCAGUGGCGAAGGCGGCCUACUGGGCACCAACUGACGCUGAGGCUCGAAAGUGUGGGUAGCAAACAGGAUUAGAUACCCUGGUAGUCCACACUGUAAACGAUGAUUACUAGGUGUUGGAGGAUUGACCCCUUCAGUGCCGCAGUUAACACAAUAAGUAAUCCACCUGGGGAGUACGACCGCAAGGUUGAAACUCAAAGGAAUUGACGGGGGCCCGCACAAGCAGUGGAGUAUGUGGUUUAAUUCGACGCAACGCGAAGAACCUUACCAAGUCUUGACAUCCCUUGACGAUGCUGGAAACAGUAUUUCUCUUCGGAGCAAGGAGACAGGUGGUGCAUGGUUGUCGUCAGCUCGUGUCGUGAGAUGUUGGGUUAAGUCCCGCAACGAGCGCAACCCUUAUGGUCAGUUACUACGCAAGAGGACUCUGGCCAGACUGCCGUUGACAAAACGGAGGAAGGUGGGGAUGACGUCAAAUCAUCAUGCCCUUUAUGACUUGGGCUACACACGUACUACAAUGGCGUUAAACAAAGAGAAGCAAGACCGCGAGGUGGAGCAAAACUCAGAAACAACGUCCCAGUUCGGACUGCAGGCUGCAACUCGCCUGCACGAAGUCGGAAUUGCUAGUAAUCGCAGAUCAGCAUGCUGCGGUGAAUACGUUCCCGGGCCUUGUACACAC
rnacentral:rRNA from 1 species